CUGCUGCCUUCCGUAGGAGUUUGGGCCGUGUCUCAGUCCCAAUGUGGCCGUCCACCCUCUCAGGCCGGCUACUGAUCGUCGCCUUGGUGGGCCCCUACCCCGCCAACAAGCUAAUCAGACGCGGGUCCAUCUUACACCACCGGAGUUUUUCACACCGGGCCAUGCGGCCCUGUGCGCUUAUGCGGUAUUAGCACCUGUUUCCAGGUGUUAUCCCCCUGUGUAAGGCAGGCUACCCACGCGUUACUCACCCGUCCGCCACUCGAA
rnacentral:rRNA from 1 species